AACCCGUCAGCAACUGACACCGGACGAGGCCCGCCGUACCCGGCCAGCGACAAGACGGCGCGGU
rnacentral:ncRNA from 1 species